rnacentral:tRNA from 1 species
GGGGCUGUGGCCUAGCCCGGUAUGGCGACGGGCUCCAGCGGAUAAAAUGAUGAACAACGGGUCUACCGAGUUCUUCCCGACGGGGAAGGACGAUGAGGAGCCGUUGGAGCACUGAUUGAUGCUCAUAGAACUAAAACUGUUGAGGCAGUUGUUCGGAGAGACCCGUCGAUCGUGAGUUCGAAUCUCACCAGCCCCA